rnacentral:lncRNA from 1 species
CCUAACCUUCUUUUUUUUUUUUCACUCUCUCACUAUUUCCCUUCCCUCGCAAAUUGGGACUUAUCUUUCAAAGCAAAAUCAUUUCCGUUUGAAAAUUUGUCUCCAUGACCAUGAAACGAAAACUUCCAUGCAAAAUCUGCGUGAAACAUUUUUUGAUUUUUUCGACUCGACAAACAACUUGCACUGCCAAGCACAAAACAUAGUACCAUGGAAAAUAUGCGUUGCAUACACCCAAUUAUUUGCUCAUUCGCGGCAAAAAAAGUUUACAUGAAAAUAAAAAGGUCGAAAAGAGGUACUUUGACCAGCCAAAAUAAGAAUAGUGAACAAGAAAAAUACAAAAAUUACAUGCACCGCGUGAACUAGAUUACAGCGAAGGUAAUUAUAU